UAAGGAAUAUUGGACAAUGGGCGCAAGCCUGAUCCAGCCAUGCCGCGUGCAGGAUGACGGCCCUAUGGGUUGUAAACUGCUUUUAUACGGGAAAAAACCCCUCUACGUGUAGAGGGCUGAUGGUACCGUAAGAAUAAGGAUCGGCUAACUCCGUGCCAGCAGCCGCGGUAAUACGGAGGAUCCGAGCGUUAUCCGGAUUUAUUGGGUUUAAAGGGUGCGUAGGCGGAUUUGUAAGUCAGUGGUGAAAUCC
rnacentral:rRNA from 1 species